CGUCAUUCAAGCCCAUAGGGAAACAGUGCGAGCCACGAUUGGGCCUCUCGGUUUGAUGGCGAAUGCUACACGCAGCCAACGCUCGAUUGCUUCCCCUCGUGCACAUGCGGCAAUCGCAGCUACAGCCUAACACCGCCCUCAAUUCACCUCCUGGCACACGUUGCGCAGGCACCGUUUUCCGCAUAUAACCGCGGAAACAGUUCCCUUGUGCUUCACGUGAGGAAUAGAAGAGAACCUUCGCUUCCAAGCAUGGUCAAUGGACACUGCGUUGUCGUAGCGUUCGUUGUAUUCACCAUGAUAGCUGACGUCGGUCUAGCCGUCGACCGUCUUGCUCAACGGUCGCUUCAAUCCCAUGUGCGCAUUGUAAACGGUGAAUGUAGCUUCCGCUACACCGAUUCCAAGCAAGGCUACCUGACGCUGAAAGACGGGCGAUGCUUUAAAGCUGCCUGCGUUCCCGGAGAAGGCAGAGCUGUGUUCAGAUAUGUUCGUCGAUGUAAGCGAACUGAUUAUGGAAGAUACUGCUGGGUCUCGGAUGGUGACUUGAGCCCGGAAUGCUGCGAUCAAACGAUAAUGUGCGAAUAAAGAUCCCCCAGAAUGGGGCCCCUCC